rnacentral:rRNA from 1 species
CGCCUUGCCAGCCCGCUCAGAAACUUAAAGGAAUUGACGGGGCCCGCACAAGCGGAGGAGCAUGUGGUUAAUUCGAUGAUACGCGAGGAACCUUACCUGGGCUCGAACGUAAGAUGACUGUAGGUGAAAGCUUACAUCUCUUCGGAGCAUUUUACGAGGUGCUGCAUGGUUGUCGUCAGCUCGUGCCGUGAGGUGUCGGGUUAAGUCCCAUAACGAGCGCAACCCCUACCUUUAGUUGCCAUCAGGUAAUGCUGGGGACUCUAAAGGAACUGCCUACGCAAGUAGUGAGGAAGGCGGGGAUGACGUCAAAUCAGCACGGCCCUUACGUCCAGGGCUACACACGUGCUACAAUGGCCGAUACAGAGGGCAGCUACCUGGUGACAGGAUGCAAAUCUCCAAAGUCGGUCUCAGUUCGGAUCGGAGUCUGCAACCCGACUCCGUGAAGUUGGAUUCGCUAGUAAUCGCGCAUCAGCCAUGGCGCGGUGAAUACGUUCCCGGGCCUU